UACGGAGGGUGCAAGCGUUGUCCGGAUUUAUUGGGUUUAAAGGGUGCGUAGGCGGCUGAUUAAGUCAGUGGUGAAAGCCGGUAGCUUAACUAUCGAAUUGCCAUUGAUACUGGUUAGCUUGAGUACAGAUGAGGUAGGCGGAAUUUAUGGUGUAGCGGUGAAAUGCAUAGAUACCAUAAAGAACUCCGAUAGCGAAGGCAGCUUACUAAACUGUAACUGACGCUGAGGCACGAAAGCAUGGGGAGCAAACAGG
rnacentral:misc_RNA from 1 species